rnacentral:misc_RNA from 1 species
GAUGAAGAACGUAGCGAAAUGCGAUAAGUAAUGUGAAUUGCAGAAUUCAGUGAAUCAUCGAAUCUUUGAACGCACCUUGCGCCCCUUGGUUAUUCCAAAGGGCAUGCCUGUUUGAGUAUCAUGAACACCUCAACUCUUGUGGUUUCCCACAAUGAGCUUGGACUGUGGAGGUUUUGUUGGCCCUGUGGUCAGCUCCUCUCAAAUGGAUCAGCUUACCGGUGUUUGGUGGCAUUACGGGUGUGAUAACUAUCUACGCUCGUGGUCGUCUCCAAAUAACCUCCAGUGAUGGAGGUUCGCUGGAGCUUAUAAAUGUCUCUCCCCAGUGAAGACAGCCUUUGAACGUUCGAUCUCAUAUCAGGUAGGACUACCCGCUGAACUUAAGCAUAUCAAUAAGCGGAGGA